GCAGUAGCAAUAUUGUCAGUGGCGGACGGGUGAGUAACGCGUAGGAAUCUAUCUUUGGAUGGGGGACAACCGUGGGAAACUACGGCUAAUACCGCAUAAUGCCUGAGGGCCAAAGCUUGAGAGAGCGUCUGAAGAGGAGCCUGCGUCUGAUUAGCUAGUUGGUGGGGUAAAGGCCUACCAAGGCUUCGAUCAGUAGCUGGUCUGAGAGGAUGAUCAGCCACAUUGGGACUGAGACACGGCCCAAACUCCUACGGGAGGCAGCAGUGGGGAAUAUUGGACAAUGGGCGCAAGCCUGAUCCAGCAAUGCCGCGUGGGUGAAGAAGGUUUUCGGAUUGUAAAGCCCUUUUGGCGGGGACGAUGAUGACGGUACCCGCAGAAUAAGCUCCGGCUAACUUCGUGCCAGCAGCCGCGGUAAUACGAAGGGGGCUAGCGUUGCUCGGAAUGACUGGGCGUAAAGGGCGCGUAGGCGGACUGCACAGUCAGGCGUGAAAUUCCUGGGCUUAACCUGGGGACUGCGUCUGAGACGUGUGAUCUAGUGUGAGGAAGAGGGUCGUGGAAUUUCCAGUGUAGAGGUGAAAUUCGUAGAUAUUGGAA
rnacentral:rRNA from 1 species